AGAGUUUGAUCAUGGCUCAGAACGAACGCUGGCGGCAUGCCUAACACAUGCAAGUCGAACGCUUGUCGAGAUUUCGGUUUCGGCGGGAGUGGCGCACGGGUGAGUAGCGCGUGGGAACCUGCCCUGUUGUGGGGGAUAACCGAGGGAAACUUCGGCUAAUACCGCAUACGCCCGGGGAGCAAUCACCGGGGAAAGAUUGAUCGCGGCAGGAGGGGCCCGCGUCGGAUUAGGUUGUUGGUGGGGUAACGGCCUACCAAGCCGGUGAUCCGUAGCUGGUCUGAGAGGAUGAUCAGCCACACUGGGACUGAGACACGGCCCAGACUCCUACGGGAGGCAGCAGUGGGGAAUAUUGGACAAUGGGCGCAAGCCUGAUCCAGCAAUGCCGCGUGAGUGAUGAAGGCCUUCGGGUUGUAAAGCUCUUUCACCCGCGAGGAUGAUGACGCUAGCGGGAGAAGAAGCCCCGGCUAACUUCGUGCCAGCAGCCGCGGUAAUACGAAGGGGGCGAGCGUUGUUCGGAUUGACUGGGCGUAAAGGGCGCGUAGGCGGCGCGAGCAGUCGAGUGUGAAAGCCCCGGGCUCAACCUGGGAGGUGCGCUCGAUACUCUUGUGCUGGAGUUCGGGAGAGGAGCGUGGAAUUCCCAGUGUAGAGGUGAAAUUCGUAGAUAUUGGGAAGAACACCGGUGGCGAAGGCGGCGCUCUGGACCGAGACUGACGCUGAGGCGCGAAAGCGUGGGGAGCAAACAGGAUUAGAUACCCCGGUAGUCC
rnacentral:rRNA from 1 species